UACGUAGGGUGCGAGCGUUAAUCGGAAUUACUGGGCGUAAAGGGCGCGUAGGCGGCACGGCAAGUCAGGAGUGAAAGCCCUGGGCUCAACCCGGGAACUGCUUUUGAAACUGCCGAGCUAGAGUGCGGAAGGGGCAACUGGAAUUCCCAGUGUAGAGGUGAAAUUCGUAGAUAUUGGGAAGAACACCGGUGGCGAAGGCGGCGCUCUGGACCGAGACUGACGCUGAGGCGCGAAAGCGUGGGGAGCAAACAGG
rnacentral:rRNA from 1 species